rnacentral:rRNA from 1 species
AACCGACUAAUGUUGAAAAAUUAGCGGAUGACCUGUGGCUGGGGGUGAAAGGCCAAUCAAACCGGGAGAUAGCUGGUUCUCCCCGAAAGCUAUUUAGGUAGCGCCUCGUGAACUCAUCUCCGGGGGUAGAGCACUGUUUCGGCUAGGGGGCCAUCCCGGCUUACCAACCCGAUGCAAACUGCGAAUACCGGAGAAUGUUAUCACGGGAGACACACGGCGGGUGCUAACGUCCGUCGUGAAGAGGGAAACAACCCAGACCGCCAGCUAAGGUCCCAAAGUCAUGGUUAAGUGGGAAACGAUGUGGGAAGGCCCAGACAGCCAGGAUGUUGGCUUAGAAGCAGCCAUCAUUUAAAGAAAGCGUAAUAGCUCACUGGUCGAGUCGGCCUGCGCGGAAGAUGUAACGGGGCUAAACCAUGCACCGAAGCUGCGGCAGCGACACUUUAGUGUUGUUGGGUAGGGGAGCGUUCUGUAAGCCGUUGAAGGUGUCCUGUGAGGGGUGCUGGAGGUAUCAGAAGUGCGAAUGCUGACAUAAGUAACGAUAAAGCGGGUGAAAAGCCCGCUCGCCGGAAGACCAAGGGUUCCUGUCCAACGUUAAUCGGGGCAGGGUGAGUCGACCCCUAAGGCGAGGCCGAAAGGCGUAGUCGAUGGGAAACGGGUUAAUAUUCCCGUACUUGGUGUUACUGCGAAGGGGGGACGGAGAAGGCUAUGUUGGCCGGGCGACGGUA